rnacentral:misc_RNA from 1 species
GGGAGGUGCUGCCAAUAAUACUCACAAAAAUAAAAUAAAAAUGGCGUCAAUAUCUAUUCCUUUAGCGUAUAAAUCUCAUUAUCUCCUUCGUUCCCCAGUUUAUCGCCCUUUGCAACUUCACUCACCCAUCCAAAUCAAAUGUUCAGCUUCCAAGGAUUGUUCCAACAGUGAGGAAAGUUCAACUCAGUUUAAGCAACUUAGGAAUGUUGCUUGUGGAUUCCUUGCUGUUUGGGCACUUUCUUCUGUUUCUCCCGUUAUUGCUGCUGGUCAGAGAUUACCUCCAUUAUCAACAGAUCCAGAUAGGUGUGAACGGGCCUUUGUUGGCAACACAAUAGGUCAAGCCAAUGGUGUUUACGAUAAGCCACUUGAUCUGCGCUUUUGUGAUUACACAAAUGAGAAAACUAAUCUUAAGGGGAAGUCACUUGCAGCAGCACUCAUGUCUGAUGCAAAAUUUGAUGGUGCAGACAUGACUGAAGUGAUCAUGUCUAAGGCUUAUGCUGUUGGUGCUAGUUUUAAG